GGGAGAGAGAGAGAGAGAGAAGGGAGUUGGUGAGUAUUUAAACAAGAAUGAUAUAAAAGAAUAAUCAAGUCUACCAUUAAAGCUAAUACAUUAAGAGGUCGUUAUGUACAACAGUGUGCUGUAUAUGAAGUCAUUCUUUUCAAAUUUACCUAAUUUUCUUCUUUCUCCCAACAACAAAGCUAAUAUUUAUCACAACCCUCCACCAACACCUCCUACUUUCUAUAUUUCAAUUCUCCAAAUUCAGAUCUUUCCUUCAAACCAAUCAUGUCUUUCUUUAAAAUAUAUGAUGUGGUGGAACAACCCCUCAAUCUGUCUCUUUAUCCAUUCAACCAACCAAAUCAACUAUAACCAACUACUACUAAUGCUACUA
rnacentral:misc_RNA from 1 species